UACGGAGGGGGCAAGCGUUAUUCGGAAUUAUUGGGCGUAAAGGGCGCGUAGGCGGCCUCGUAAGUCGAAGGUGAAAUCCCCGAGCUCAACUUGGGAACUGCCUUCGAUACUGCUUGGCUUGAGUCCGGGAGAGGAGAGUGGAAUUCCCAGUGUAGCGGUGAAAUGCGUAGAUAUUGGGAGGAACACCAGUGGCGAAGGCGGCUCUCUGGACCGGUACUGACGCGGAGGCGCGAAAGCGUGGGUAGCAAACAGG
rnacentral:rRNA from 1 species